GACUGGCGAUUGGGACGAAGUCGUAACAAGGUAGCCGUACCGGAAGGUGCGGCUGGAUCACCUCCUUUCUAAGGAG
rnacentral:rRNA from 1 species